AUGAACGCUGGCGGCGUGCCUAAUACAUGCAAGUCGAGCGAACAGACGAGGAGCUUGCUCCUCUGACGUUAGCGGCGGACGGGUGAGUAACACGUGGAUAACCUACCUAUAAGACUGGGAUAACUUCGGGAAACCGGAGCUAAUACCGGAUAAUAUAUUGAACCGCAUGGUUCAAUAGUGAAAGACGGUUUUGCUUUCACUUAUAGCUUGAUCCGCGCCGCAUUAGCUAGUUGGUAAGGUAACGGCUUACCAAGGCAACGAUGCGUAGCCGACCUGAGAGGGUGAUCGGCCACACUGGAACUGAGACACGGUCCAGACUCCUACGGGAGGCAGCAGUAGGGAAUCUUCCGCAAUGGGCGAAAGCCUGACGGAGCAACGCCGCGUGAGUGAUGAAGGUCUUCGGAUCGUAAAACUCUGUUAUUAGGGAAGAACAAAUGUGUAAGUAACUAUGCACGUCUUGACGGUACCUAAUCAGAAAGCCACGGCUAACUACGUG
rnacentral:rRNA from 1 species